rnacentral:rRNA from 1 species
UACAGAGGAGCCAAGCGUUGUCCGGAUUGACUGGGCGUAAAGCGUGCGCAGGCGGUUGGUUAAGUCUGAUGUGAAAGCCCCGGGCUCAACUUGGGAACUGCAUUGGAAACUGGCCAGCGGGAGUGCGGCAGAGGGGGGUGGAAUUCCGCGUGUAGCAGUGAAAUGCGUAGAGAUGCGGAGGAACACCGAUGGCGAAGGCAGCCCCCUGGGCCAACACUGACGCUCAGGCGCGAAAGCGUGGGGAGCGAACAGG